UACGUAGGGUGCGAGCGUUGUCCGGAAUUAUUGGGCGUAAAGAGCUCGUAGGCGGUUUGUCGCGUCGACUGUGAAAACCUACAGCUUAACUGUGGGCUUGCAGUCGAUACGGGCAGACUUGAGUUCGGUAGGGGAGACUGGAAUUCCUGGUGUAGCGGUGAAAUGCGCAGAUAUCAGGAGGAACACCGGUGGCGAAGGCGGGUCUCUGGACAGUUCCUGACACUGAGGCACGAAGGCUAGGGGAGCAAACGGG
rnacentral:rRNA from 1 species